AAUCAACGCUGGCGGCGCGCCUAACACAUGCAAGUCGAACGAGAAAGUGGAGCAAUCCAUGAGUAAAGUGGCGUACGGGUGAGUAACACGUGGAUCAUCUGCCCUUUUGUGGGGAAUACCGCUGGGAAACCGGUGACAAUACCGCAUAAUCUCGAGAGAGGAAAGCAGCAAUGCGCAGAAGGAGGAGUCCGCGGUCGAUUAGUUAGUUGGCAGGGUAAAAGCCUACCAAGACUGUGAUCGAUAGCCGGCCUGAGAGGGCACACGGCCACACUGGCACUGAAACACGGGCCAGACUCCUACGGGAGGCAGCAGUGGGGAAUCUUGCACAAUGGGGGAAACCCUGAUGCAGCGACGCCGCGUGAGCGAUGAAGCCCUUCGGGUGUAAAGCUCUUUCGGCAGGGACGAUAAUGACGGUACCUGCAGAA
rnacentral:rRNA from 1 species